AAGCAGGAUUCAGACUACAACAUGGCUGUUAAGUGUUGUGCUAUCAUCAUUCUCCCUGCUCAAAAUAAUCUCUCUCUCUCUCUGGUACAGGGUCUCACUACCU
rnacentral:snoRNA from 1 species